rnacentral:rRNA from 1 species
GACGAACGCUGGCGGCGUGCCUAAUACAUGCAAGUAGAACGCACAGUUUAUACCGUAGCUUGCUACACCAUAGACUGUGAGUUGCGAACGGGUGAGUAACGCAUAGGUAACCUGCCUGGUAGCGGGGGAUAACUAUUGGAAACGAUAGCUAAUACCGCAUAAUAUUAAUUAUUGCAUGAUAAUUAAUUGAAAGGUGCAAUUGCACCACUACCAGAUGGACCUGCGUUGUAUUAGCUAGUAGGUGAGGUAACGGCUCACCUAGGCGACGAUACAUAGCCGACCUGAGAGGGUGAUAGGCCACACUGGGACUGAGACACGGCCCAGACUCCUACGGGAGGCAGCAGUAGGGAAUCUUCGGCAAUGGACGAAAGUCUGACCGAGCAACGCCGCGUGAGUGAAGAAGGUUUUCGGAUCGUAAAGCUCUGUUGUAAGAGAAGAACGGGUGUGAGAGUGGAAAGUUCACACUGUGACGGUAUCUUACCAGAAAGGGACGGCUAACUACGUG